CUGCGGAAGGAUCAUUAAUGAAACUUCAAAGUCGGCCAAAGGUUGUUGCUGGUGAUUAUUCACAUGUGCACGCCUUUGGUCGCAAAUCCACACACACCUGUGCAUCUAUGACUCGAGGUUGUAAUGACUGAGAGUAACUUUUAUACACUCUUGUAUGUAAUGGAAUGUCUUUUUGUGCUAUAAUGUACAAUAUAAACAACUUUCAACAACGGAUCUCUUGGCUCUCGCAUCGAUGAAGAACGCAGCGAAAUGCGAUAAGUAAUGUGAAUUGCAGAAUUCAGUGAAUCAUCGAAUCUUUGAACGCACCUUGCACCCUUUGGUAUUCCGAAGGGUACGCCCGUUUGAGUGUCAUUGUAAUCUCACUUCUACAACUUUAUUGUUGUUUGAAUGUGGACUUGGAUGUUGCCGUUUUAUCACGGCUCGUCUUAAAUGCCUGAGUGUACCCUGUUUUGCAGCGUAUCCAGUGUAAUAAACAUUUCACUAGAGUUGGUYGAAAGACCRCGUUGACUAUAUGGGCUCUAUGCUUCAAACCGUCUGCCAUGUGGACAAUUUCUUGACAAUUUGACCUCAAAUCGGGUGGGACUACCCGCUGAACUUAAGCAUAUCAAUAAGCGGAGGAAAAGAAACUAACAAGGAUUCCCCUAGUAACGGCGAGUGAAGAGGGAAAAGCUCAAAUUUUAAAUCUGGUGUCUUUGACUCCCGAGUUGUAAUCUAGAGAAGUGUUUUCCGUGUCGGACCGUGUACAAGUUCCCUGGAACGGGGCGUCAUAGAGGGUGAGAAUCCCGUAUAUGCCAYGGACUACCGAUGCUCUGUGAUACACUCUCAACGAGUCGAGUUGUUUGGGAAUGCAGCUCAAAAUGGGUGGUAAAUUCCAUCUAAAGCUAAAUAUUGGCGAGAGACCGAUAGCGAACAAGUACCGUGAGGGAAAGAUGAAAAGCACUUUGGAAAGAGAGUGAAACAGUACGUGAAAUUGUUGAAAGGGAAGCGUUUGAAGUCAGUCGCAUCUGUUGGGGUUCAGCCUGGCUUUUGCCUGGUGUAUUUCCUUUCYGAUGGGUCAGCAUCAGUUUYGACCGAGGGAAAAAGACAUUUGGAAUGUGGCUGUCUUCGGGCAGUGUUAUAGCCUUGUGUUGUAUGUCUCGGUUGGGACUGAGGAUUGCAGCGCGCCAUAAAUGGCCGGGGGUCGCUCCUCUCGACACGCGCUUAGGAUGCUGGCAUAAUGGCUUUAAGCGACCCGUCUUGAAACACGGACCAAGGAGUCUAACAUGUGCGCGAGUGUUUGGGUGUAAAACCCGAGCGCGUAAUGAAAGUGAAAGGUCGGGAUCAUUCAUUUGUGCACCGACGCCCGGAGCUGACCUUCUGUGACGCAUCCGCGGUAGAGCGUAUAUGUUGGGACCCGAAAGAUGGUGAACUAUGCCUGAAUAGGGUGAAGCCAGAGGAAACUCUGGUGGAGGCUCGUAGCGAUUCUGACGUGCAAAUCGAUCGUCAAAUUUGGGUAUAGGGGCGAAAGACUAAUCGAA
rnacentral:rRNA from 1 species